AAUGUACUCCCUUCGUCCGAAAAUACUUGUCAUCAAAAUGAAUAAAAGGGGAUGUAUCUAGACGUAUUUUAGUUCUAGAUACAUCUCCUUUUGUCUAUUUUGAUGACAAGUAUUUUUAGACGGAGGGAUA
rfam:Triticum aestivum genome assembly, contig: Triticum_aestivum_CS42_TGACv1_scaffold_329584_4BS